AAUUUUGGACAAUGGGGGGAACCCUGAUCCAGCCAUUCCGCGUGUGCGAUGAAGGCCUUCGGGUUGUAAAGCACUUUUGGCAGGAAAGAAAUCGUACGGGUUAAUACCCUGUUCGGAUGACGGUACCUGCAGAAUAAGCACCGGCUAACUACGUGCCAGCAGCCGCGGUAAUACGUAGGGUGCAAGCGUUAAUCGGAAUUACUGGGCGUAAAGCGUGCGCAGGCGGUUCGGACAGAAAGAUGUGAAAUCCCAGGGCUCAACCUUGGAACUGCAUUUUUAACUACCGGACUAGAGUGUGUCAGAGGGGGGUGGAAUUCCGCGUGUAGCAGUGAAAUGCGUAGAUAUGCGGAGGAACACCGAUGGCGAAGGCAGCCCCCUGGGAUAACACUGACGCUCAGGCACGAAAGCGUGGGGAGCAAACAGG
rnacentral:rRNA from 1 species